rnacentral:rRNA from 1 species
GUAGGGGGCGAGCGUUGUCCGGAAUUAUUGGGCGUAAAGAGCGUGUAGGCGGUUCGGUAAGUCUGCCGUGAAAACCUGAGGCUCAACCUCGGGCGUGCGGUGGAUACUGCCGGGCUAGAGGACGGUAGAGGCGAGUGGAAUUCCCGGUGUAGCGGUGAAAUGCGCAGAUAUCGGGAGGAACACCAGUAGCGAAGGCGGCUCGCUGGGCCGUUCCUGACGCUGAGACGCGAAAGCUAGGGGAGCGAACAGGAUUAGAUACCCUGGUAGUCCUAGCCGUAAACGAUGGACACUAGGUGUGGGGGGAGUCGAAUCCCUCUGUGCCGCAGUUAACGCGUUAAGUGUCCCGCCUGGGGAGUACGGCCGCAAGGCUAAA